rnacentral:misc_RNA from 1 species
GAUAUUUGCAGCAGCUGCAGGAAUUUUGCCAUAUGUCUUUGACAAAAUCCUCUUCAAAAAGCGUCCUGAUUUUGAGUUGGAUACUACCAGUCCAAAAUUUAAAAACGCUCUUGAUGAACUUGUCGAUGACCAUAUCGAACACGCUUUUGUCUAUGAUAUCGAACCUGCUGAUGAGAUAAAAGAAAGCUCCGACCAAUCUCAAGUGGAUCUUCUUAUUCUCACAGCUGAAAAGAAAGAAAGGGCAUCGCUUCUCUUGGCACAUAUUGUUUGACUCUUUGUUUGGUAAGGUACAUAAAACAUGUUAAAUUUUUAAAAUUGAAUAACUGUUUACUGUUUCAUGGUUUGCAGUGUUUCCUUUUUACGAGUCUUGAAACAAUUUUCUAAUAGUUUCGUGCUUUAGCUUUUAUGGGUGUUUGAUUACAUUUACCGACUCAGAUACUAUUAUGCAUUUAUUUUGAACAAUAGAUAAUUAUGCAAUUGCCGGUAUAUCAUUCACGCAAUGCUUAUAUAUAAUUAUAUGUAUAUAAAUUAAUUAAUGACAAAUGUACAUGAUUUUUCGAUUCAAUGUAAUGUAUGUGUAUCUUUCAAAAGAUGGAAGUAUAUUAUAAUAAAAAAUAUGUGUAGUCAAUUAAGUGAAAUCACGUUUCAUAUGCUUACAUGUGAGUCUUAUUAGAAAUUAUAAUAUGUUUAUAUGCAGAUGUACAUUUAUGAUAUUCCCAAUUAUUUGGGAUUGUAGCGCUGACAACCUUGUGUACGAUAUUAAAUCCUUGUUGU